GACGAACCGAGCGAACGUUGUUCGGAAUAACUGGGCUUAAAGGGCGCGUAGGCGGGCUGUCAAGUCUGGGGUGAAAUCCCGCGGCUCAACCGUGGAACUGCCUCAGAUACUGACGGCCUCGAGGGAGAUAGGGGCGAGCGGAACUAAUGGUGGAGCGGUGAAAUGCGUUGAUAUCAUUAGGAACUCCGGUGGCGAAGGCGGCUCGCUGGAUCUUUUCUGACGCUGAGGCGCGAAAGCUAGGGGAGCAAACGGG
rnacentral:rRNA from 1 species